UACGUAGGGGCCUAGCGUUGUCCGGAAUUAUUGGGCGUAAAGAGCUCGUAGGCGGUUCGGCAAGUCGGAUGUGAAAUCUCCACGCUUAACGUGGAGGGGCCAUUCGAAACUGCUGUGACUCGAGUCCGGUAGGGGAGUGUGGAAUUCCCGGUGUAGCGGUGAAAUGCGCAGAUAUCGGGAGGAACACCAGUGGCGAAGGCGGCACCCUGGAUCAGCACUGACACUCAGGCACGAAAGCGUGGGGAGCAAACAGG
rnacentral:rRNA from 1 species